AAAGGUUUCUGUCCCUAAACUUAGUGCUAUCCUUCCUGAGUUUUGGCGUCUCCUGAUUUGGCUAUGGUUCUUUAUGCUACUGUUCCACCCGCAAUUUACCAGACUUACACUAUCUCUAAUUUGGAGCAGAGCAAAACAUGUGUUUGUUUUGAGGGUUCUUGGGUGCUCAUGUGAAACCGAAGGCGCAGGAAAAAGUGUGGAAAAGGGGAUUAUGUGGAUAUUUUUACCCUCUUGCCGUUAGAACGUUUUAACAUUGAUAUGUGGAUUAAGGGGAAAGAGCUCCGUAAUAGGAACAGGCGUCAUUACCGUCUUAUCCUUAGAACUGGCUACAGGCAUUUUGUAUUAUGGCUAGUUU